rnacentral:rRNA from 1 species
CAGCCGCCGCGGUAAUACGAAGGGUGCAAGCGUUACUCGGAAUUACUGGGCGUAAAGCGCACGUAGGCGGAUACUUAAGUCAGGGGUGAAAUCCCGGGGCUCAACCCCGGAACUGCCUUUGAUACUGGGUAUCUCGAGUCCGGAAGAGGUGAGUGGAAUUCCGAGUGUAGAGGUGAAAUUCGUAGAUAUUCGGAGGAACACCAGUGGCGAAGGCGGCUCACUGGUCCGGUACUGACGCUGAGGUGCGAAAGCGUGGGGAGCAAACAGGAUUAGAUACCCCUGUAGUCCCUGUCUCUUAUAC